rnacentral:rRNA from 1 species
UGGGGAAUAUUGCACAAUGGGCGGAAGCCUGAUGCAGCGACGCCGCGUGAGGGAUGACGGCCUUCGGGUUGUAAACCUCUUUCAGCAUCGUCGAAGCCGUAAGGUGACGGUAGGUGCAGAAGAAGCGCCGGCCAACUACGUGCCAGCAGCCGCGGUAAGACGUAGGGCGCGAGCGUUGUCCGGAUUUAUUGGGCGUAAAGAGCUCGUAGGCGGCUUGUCGCGUCGUCUGUGAAAACCCGCGGCUCAACUGUGGGCUUGCAGGCGAUACGGGCAGGCUGGAGUUCGGUAGGGGAGACUGGAAUUCCUGGUGUAGCGGUGAAAUGCGCAGAUAUCAGGAAGAACACCCGUGGCUAAGGCGGUUCUCUAGUACGGUACUGACGCUGAGACGCGAAAGCGUGGGGAGCGAAC